rnacentral:sRNA from 1 species
AAACAGAAGGGGAGGUGCAGUUUCAGAACCCAGCCAGCCUCUCUCUUGCUGCCCAGCCUCCCGCCGGCCUCAUCUUCGCCCAGCCAACCCCGCCUGGAGCCCUAUGGCCAACUGCGAGUUCAGCCCGGUGUCCGGGGACAAACCCUGCUGCCGGCUCUCUAGGAGAGCCCAACUCUGUCUUGGCGUCUGUAUCCUGGUCCUGAUCGUCGUCGUGGUGGUCGCGGUAGUCGUCCCGAGGUGGCGCCAGCAGUGGAGCGGUCCGGGCACCACCAAGCGCUUUCCCGAGACCGUCCUGGAGCGAUGCGUCAAGUACACUGAAAUCUAUCCUGAGAUGAGACAUGUAGACUGCCAAAGUGUAUGGGAUGCAUUCAAGGGUGCAUUUAUUUCAAAACAUCCUUGCAACAUUACUGAAGAAGACUAUCAGCCACUAAUGAAGUUGGGAACUCAGACCGUACCUUGCAACAAGAUUCUUCUUUGGAGCAGAAUAAAAGAUCUGGCCCAUCAGUUCACACAGGUCCAGCGGGACAUGUUCACCCUGGAGGACACGCUGCUAGGCUACCUUGCUGAUGACCUCACAUGGUGUGGUGAAUUCAACACUUCCGGUGAGGCUCUGGGCCCUGUGGGAUUGCCCAGGGAUGUGGAGGGUGAACAGAGUGAGUUCUGCUGGGGGCCCUGAAUGAUUAGUGUGGAGGACAGAGCCACAGGCACCCAUCCUGAUGCCAUCUAUACUUAUAUUAGUCCAUUUGUGUUACUAUAAAGGAAUACCUGAGGCUGGGUAAUUUAUAAAGAAAAGAGGUUUAUUUGACUCACAGUUAUGCAGGCUGUACAAGAAGUAGGGCACCAGCAUCCGCUUCGGGUGAAGGCCUGAGGCUGUUUCCACUCAUGGAGAAGGAGAAGGGGAGCUGGCAUGUACAGAGAUCACAUGGUGAGGGAGGAAAGCAAGGAGAGAUCAGGGGAGGUGCCAGGCUGUUUGUAAUGACCAGCUCUCCUGGGAACUAAUAGAGUAAGAACUCAUUACUACAAGGACAGCACCAUGCCAUUCAUGCAGGAUCAUCCCUAUGACCCAAACACCUCCUACUAGUCCCGAGCUCCAACACUGGGGAUCAAAUUUCAACAUAAGGUUUGGAGAGUUAAAUAUCCAAACUAUAGCACUACCCUUAAUGACAACUCAGGCUGAUAUAAACUAGCAUUCCCUGUUUUCUUGAAAAAUUGACUUCAGAGUUGGGGAUUGCCCAUGCUCCCUAAUUCCCUUCUUUUGAGUGCUCACAUAGCCUGCUUCUGAAUUCUUGGUAUUUUGCUCUCUGUAAGGUCAUCAUUCAGGUCCAAAGAAGUCUAGAACAGGAUGAGGUCUCAGUGGGACCCAGACCAAGGUUCUUGCUCUUCAGAAUCAUCACAGUAGCCAUGGACUGGACUCUUCCAUCUCAGGCACUGGCUUUGCCAUCAUUUUUCAGAUGUAGCCUUAUCCUGCCCAGAAAGACUCAACACCUCACCAGGGGAAGGGAUUUCCUACAACCAAAACCCUACUGCAGUUUUCACUUCUUUUUUUUUUCUUUUUGUUUAUAUGGUGGAUAUUUUUACUUUAUAUAGUUUUAUUCUUAUUUUUACUACUUUUCAUUGUUUGUUUUAAAAAGCUUAUCUUAUUAUAGCUUCUUUGUCCCAGGUUUGCAUUAUU